rnacentral:rRNA from 1 species
GGGCCCGCACAAGCAGUGGAGUAUGUGGUUUAAUUCGAAGCAACGCGAAGAACCUUACCAAGGCUUGACAUACAGAUGAAUAGGGCAGAGAUGUUCUAGUCCUUCGGGACAUCUGUACAGGUGGUGCAUGGUUGUCGUCAGCUCGUGUCGUGAGAUGUUGGGUUAAGUCCCGCAACGAGCGCAACCCCUGUUGCUAGUUGAUAACAUUAAGAUGAUCACUCUAGCGAGACUGCCGGUGAUAAAUCGGAGGAAGGUGGGGACGACGUCAAAUCAUCAUGCCCCUUAUGUCUUGGGCUACACACGUACUACAAUGGCUAUUACAGAGGGAAGCUAAGCCGUAAGGUGGAGCAAAUCCCCAAAAAUAGUCCCAGUUCAGAUUGUGGGCUGCAACCCGCCCACAUGAAGUCGGAAUUGCUAGUAAUGGCAGGUCAGCAUACUGCCGUGAAUACGUUCCCGGGCCUUGUACACACCGCCCGUCACACCAUGAGAGUCUGCAACACCCGAAGUCGAUAGUCUAACCGCAAGGGGGACGUCGCCGAAGGUGGGGCCGAUGAUUGGGGUGAAGUCGUAACAAGGUAGCCGUAUCGGAAGGUGCGGCU